rnacentral:rRNA from 1 species
ACAAUGGAGAGUUUGAUCCUGGCUCAGGAUGAACGCUAGCUACAGGCUUAACACAUGCAAGUCGAGGGGAAACGAUAUUGGAAGCUUGCUUCCGAUAGGCGUCGACCGGCGCACGGGUGAGUAACGCGUAUCCAACCUGCCCACCACUUGGGGAUAACCUUGCGAAAGUAAGACUAAUACCCAAUGACGUCUCUAGAAGACAUCUGAAAGAGAUUAAAGAUUUAUCGGUGAUGGAUGGGGAUGCGUCUGAUUAGCUUGUUGGCGGGGUAACGGCCCACCAAGGCGACGAUCAGUAGGGGUUCUGAGAGGAAGGUCCCCCACAUUGGAACUGAGACACGGUCCAAACUCCUACGGGAGGCAGCAGUGAGGAAUAUUGGUCAAUGGACGAGAGUCUGAACCAGCCAAGUAGCGUGCAGGAAGACGGCCCUAUGGGUUGUAAACUGCUUUUAUAAGGGAAUAAAGUGAGUCUCGUGAGACUUUUUGCAUGUACCUUAUGAAUAAGGACCGGCUAAUUCCGUGCCAGCAGCCGCGGUAAUACGGAAGGUCCGGGCGUUAUCCGGAUUUAUUGGGUUUAAAGGGAGCGUAGGCCGGAGAUUA